AUGGACUACGCUCUACACCCUUUGUGACAUACCUAUAACUGUUGCUUCGGCGGGCAGGGUCUCCGUGACCCUCCCGGCCUCCCGCCCCCGGGCGGGUCGGCGCCCGCCGGAGGAUAACCAAACUCUGAUUUAACGACGUUUCUUCUGAGUGGUACAAGCAAAUAAUCAAAACUUUUAACAACGGAUCUCUUGGUUCUGGCAUCGAUGAAGAACGCAGCGAAAUGCGAUAAGUAAUGUGAAUUGCAGAAUUCAGUGAAUCAUCGAAUCUUUGAACGCACAUUGCGCCCGCCAGCAUUCUGGCGGGCAUGCCUGUUCGAGCGUCAUUUCAACCCUCAAGCUCUGCUUGGUGUUGGGGCCCUACAGCUGAUGUAGGCCCUCAAAGGUAGUGGCGGACCCUCCCGGAGCCUCCUUUGCGUAGUAACUUUACGUCUCGCACUGGGAUCCGGAGGGACUCUUGCCGUAAAACCCCCAAUUUUCCAAAGGUUGACCUCGGAUCAGGUAGGAAUACCCGCUGAACUUAAGCAUAUCAAUA
rnacentral:rRNA from 1 species